AUGGCGAUGGUUGACGUGAGGGUCGCGGGCCUCGCGGCCAUCCUCGUAUCUAUCCUUGCGUGUUUUCUUCUGCUCGACCAGGCGGGCGCGUUCACCGGCAACCAGACGCCCUACUCUCCGUCUCCGGCGAUCGCCAUCGACUUGGGCAACACCAACUCGUGCGUCGCCGGCUACGGCCACGGCAACGGCCAGGCCGAAACCAUGUUCCAGCUCUGCAUCCCAACCUGGGUGGCCUUCCCCGGCGACGGGUCCGUCUUGGUCGGCGAGGACGCCAAGAACCACGCCGCUCCCAUCUUCGGCUUCAAGCGCCUGCUCGGGAAGAGGCGCGACUUUGAGCGCGAGGAGGAGAACGUGCGGGAACUCAUGGCCCGCGUGCCCUACAAAGUCGUAGGCCGCGAGAGGCCCCUCGUUCAGGUGAAGAUGGUAGCAGACGGUGCGGUCAAGAACCUCGGCGCCGACGAGAUCACGGCCAUGGUGUUCGCCAAGCUCAGGGAGUCGGCCGAGGCGUACCUCGGCCGCGCGAUCCAGGAGGCCGUCGUCACGGUGCCGCAGCAGUACAACGAUCCAGCAAGGUAUUCCAUCUUGAGGGCCGCCGAGCUCGCCGGCCUGCGCGUCACGAGGUUGAUCGACGAGCCGACCGCGGCUGCCGUCGCUCACGGCCUCCACAGGAAGCUGCGCGACGAGGGCAACGUCCUCGUUCUCCACAUGGGCGGCGGGACGUCAGACGCGAGCGUCAUGUCGUAUGUGGACGGCGUCUUCGAGUUCAUGGGAGCAGACGAGGAUCCUUUCCUCGGAGGACAGGACUUCGACCAGAGGAUUGUCGAUCACUUCGUCAAGCUGAUCAGGAAGAAGCACGGCAAGGACCUCAUCCGCAACGACGACAAGGGCAGCGCGCUGGGCAGGUUGAGGACGGCGUGUGAGCAGGCCAAGAAGGCGUUGAGCAGCCAAGACGUUGCCGAACUGAGCAUCAAGUCACUUGUCGAUGGCGUCGAUUUCUCGGCCUCGCUGACCCGGGCGGAGUUUGAGGAGCUGAACCAUGACUUGUUCCUUAAAGCCAUGGCGUUGGUGGAGAGUGCCAUGAGACAAGCUGAGCUAGACAAGAACAAGGACCUGCUUGAUGAGAUUGUGCUGGUUGGUGGAAGCACCAUGGUCCCUGGGAUUCGGAGACUUGUCACCGAUUAUUUUGAUGGGAGGAGGAAGCUGAAAAAUGUCAAUGCGUCGGUGAUGCCGGAUCAAACAGUCACUCUCGGAGCUGCUCUUCUAAGCCAUCCUACGGCAAAUGGGUACCCAUGCAUGGGAGGCGACAGGCGUCAGUGGGGAUACUCCACAGACUGGUGUUUUACCGACUGA
rnacentral:rRNA from 1 species